UUCCAAAAAACUGCGACCUGCUGACGUGUACGAUCCAAUUUGAAGGCAGACAAUUACGCAGCAAUUCGUGAACACACCUUAAUUAUCUGUAGCAGUCCUUGGAGAAAUUGUAAGAAUGGGCCUGAGAAUUUCCCUGAUCAUCAUAGUCUUAUGCAUUGCUGUCAUGGGCAUGGUAGAAGUCGUGAACGCGGACAUCGAGCCUGGUGAUGAAAUAAAACUCUCCGCCCGUGGUCGCGAGCUCCUGCUAAAGCUCCUCUCUCUUGAAAGGAAAGAUGCCAAAGCGAAAGGAGAAGAUAUUAAAGAAAGGACAGAUGAGGAUUGUCCACUUGGUUUUUGGUGUUAACAGCUAGGUAGUAGCAACGAAGCCAAAAAGCGGCAAUCGAAUGGGGUUUUGUAGGUGUUCGGGUUUAUUCGCCUGAUUUUGUGAAUACAUCCGUGCUUCAUUUCCGGAUUUUCGUCUAAAGCUUUUAAUAGUGAAUGGUCCAAUAAUACAAUCGUAAAAUAGUGUAGCGGCAGUUUAUUUUUAAACAGUUGAAAUUAAAUUGUUCCCUAUCUACCGUCCUCUUUAGGUAAUCUAUUUUGUCUUGUUUUGUUUUUUCCCCUUUUAAAAUUUCUUUUGAGCACUUAUUCGAUAUUAGAAAACCUUACAAAUAAACUGUACCAUGAAUGAUAAGGCUUUGCUCUUUCCAUGUUUGAGAAGUUCUUAUAUUGAGAAAUUAAUGUUCAGCGUGGGCUCGUAACAGUGAAGAGCGUAGAAUGACUUAUAAUCCAUGUAUCUCUUUGCAUAGGGAAAUUCAGUAAUCGUUUGUAAUUGAUUAUUUACUAGGUAUUUCUUUACAAUGUAUUCAAGUACAAAUUGCUGAGAAAUAACGAUGUUUACAACUGCAUGAUUAUGUUAGAUUUUUAAUCUUUAAUUAUUCUUUCCUACACUGUUAGAAAACUCUGAUUUUACAGAAAAAAGAUUUUGCAGAAAGUAA